UGAACAAGUUUCCGUAGGUGAACCUGCGGAAGGAUCAUUA
rnacentral:rRNA from 1 species